rnacentral:rRNA from 1 species
GACGAACGCUGGCGGCGUGCUUAACACAUGCAAGUCGAGCGGUAAGGCCCUUUCGGGGGUACACGAGCGGCGAACGGGUGAGUAACACGUGGGUGACCUGCCCUUAGCUCUGGGAUAAGCCUGGGAAACUAGGGUCUAAUACCGGAUAUGACUCCAUGACGCAUGUUGUGGGGUGGAAAGCCUUGUGCGGCUAGGGAUGGGCCCGCGGCCUAUCAGCUUGUUGGUGGGGUGAUGGCCUACCAAGGCGACGACGGGUAGCCGGCCUGAGAGGGCGACCGGCCACACUGGGACUGAGACACGGCCCAGACUCCUACGGGAGGCAGCAGUGGGGAAUCUUGCGCAAUGGGCGAAAGCCUGACGCAGCGACGCCGCGUGGGGAUGACGGCCUCGGUUGUAA